rnacentral:rRNA from 1 species
UUCCCCUAGUAACUGCGAGUGAAGCGGGAAAAGCUCAAAUUUAAAAUCUGGCGGUCUUUGGCCGUCCGAGUUGUAAUCUAGAGAAGUGCUAUCCGCGCUGGACCGUGUACAAGUCUCCUGGAAUGGAGCGUCAUAGAGGGUGAGAAUCCCGUCUUUGACACGGACUGCCAGGGCUUUGUGAUGUGCUCUCAAAGAGUCGAGUUGUUUGGGAAUGCAGCUCAAAAUGGGUGGUAAAUUCCAUCUAAAGCUAAAUAUUGGCGAGAGACCGAUAGCGAACAAGUACCGUGAGGGAAAGAUGAAAAGAACUUUGGAAAGAGAGUUAAACAGUACGUGAAAUUGCUGAAAGGGAAACGCUUGAAGUCAGUCGCGUUGGCCGGGGAUCAACCUUGCUUUUGCUGGGUGUACUUUCCGGUUGACGGGUCAGCAUCAAUUUUGACCGUUGGAUAAAGUCUGUGGGAAUGUGGCUUCUUCGGAAGUGUUAUAGCCCAUGGUCGCAUACAACGGUUGGGAUUGAGGAACUCAGCACGCCGCAAGGCCGGGUAUUUAUACCACGUUCGUGCUUAGGAUGCUGGCAUAAUGGCUUUAAUCGACCCGUCUUGAAACACGGACCAAGGAGUCUAACAUGCCUGCGAGUGUUUGGGUGGAAAACCCGAGCGCGUAAUGAAAGUGAAAGUUGAGAUCCCUGUCGUGGGGAGCAUCGACGCCCGGACCAGACCUUUUGUGACGGAUCCGCGGUAGAGCAUGUAUGUUGGGACCCGAAAGAUGGUGAACUAUGCCUGAAUAGGGUGAAGCCAGAGGAAACUCUGGUGGAGGCUCGUAGCGAUUCUGACGUGCAAAUCGAUCGUCAAAUUUGGGUAUAGGGGCGAAAGACUAAUCGAAC